rnacentral:rRNA from 1 species
AUUGAACGCUGGCGGCAGGCCUAACACAUGCAAGUCUAGCGAGCGGCGGACGGGUGAUUAAUGUCUGGGAAACUGCCUGAUGGAGGGGGAUAACUACUGGAAACGCUAGCUAAUACCGCAUACCAUCAGAUGUGCCCAGAUGGGUUUAGCUAGUAGGUGGGGUAACGGCUCACCUAGGCGACGAUCCCUAGCUGGUCUGAGAGGAUGACCAGCCACAAUGGAACUGAGACAGGGUGAAGACACCUACGGGAGGCAGCAGUGGGGAAUAUUGAACAAUGGGCGCAAGCCUGAUGCAGCCAUGCCGCGUGUAUGAAAUGGGCCUUCGGGUAGUAAAGCACUUUCAACAGGAAGUCAUGACCCGCAGAAGAAGCACCGGCUUACUCAGUGCACGCAGCCGCAGAAGUAC